GUUCCUCUCUCCUCCUCAGCAGCCUAUAGCAGCACAGAGUCCUCAUCCCCUCCCUUCAGCAUUCUCAAUCAGGGGGUCACUCCUGAGAUGGCAGGGGAUUAAUCUGUAAGACCAGAGAGCACAUAAUGUGUGUGGGGUUUCCCUACCUGACCCAGGAUCCAGCAGUCUCCAGCGACGAUCGGGGAUCUCCAGGCAUCUUCUCCUCCAGUGACUCCAGGAAUUCCUACAGGCGGCAGUCCUAUGUGCAGAAUGGGAUGGCUACUAUUAUAUAAUAAGAACCUUAUUAUAGGAAACUGUUAACAUACAGCAGAGUUAUACAGUCGGCAACGAAAUACAAAGAGAAUGCAGCUGACUGUCCAGAGUAUGAACCUCCGGCAUAGAAAACUGAUUGAUCUGCAGAGGAAGGAUGCUGAGAUCCCCCGGGGAGUGACCAAAUCUCAUCUUAUACUCAUCAAGAUGGUGAAUAAUUGUAAGGAGGAAGCACUAAAUACAGAAGAGGAGAGGAAACAAUGUUCCUAAAUUAAAGGCACUCCCUGGGGAAAUGACAAGUUUACUGUCGGGGAGGCACAUAACCACCAGAGGAGUAAUGAAGACAAGUGACACUCCAGUCACACAUGGUGGCACCCAUCUCCUACAGUAUUCUCCAUAUGAAAUAUCACAGCAGAAGCAUAUGUGGUAGGCUAAUCAUUAGCCAUAUUUGUGGGAGGGGCAGCUUGGCUUCAUAA